rnacentral:rRNA from 1 species
AGAGUUUGAUCAUGGCUCAGAUUGAACGCUGGCGGAAUGCUUUACACAUGCAAGUCGAACGGCAGCACGGGGCAACCUGGUGGCGAGUGGCGAACGGGUGAGUAAUACAUCGGAACGUGCCCAAUCGUGGGGGAUAACGUAGCGAAAGUUACGCUAAUACCGCAUACGAUCUACGGAUGAAAGCGGGGGAUCGCAAGACCUCGCGCGAAUGGAGCGGCCGAUGUCAGAUUAGGUAGUUGGUGGGUAAAGGCUCACCAAGCCAACGAUCUGUAGCUGGUCUGAGAGGACGACCAGCCACACUGGAACUGAGACACGGUCCAGACUCCUACGGGAGGCAGCAGUGGGGAAUUUUGGACAAUGGGCGCAAGCCUGAUCCAGCCAUUCCGCGUGCAGGAUGAAGGCCUUCGGGUUGUAAACUGCUUUUGUACGGAACGAAAAGGUCCUGGUUAAUACCUGGGGCUCAUGACGGUACCGUAAGAAUAAGCACCGGCUAACUACGUG